GUCUCUCACCAGCAGCAUAUAGUGAUACGCGGUAUUUCAGCACUGUGCUCGUUAAUUUCCACAGACAUGGAGGUUGUUGCUUUCUUCACUUUACUUGCCUUCCUACCAAACGCCGCUGACGCUGGAAGGUACCAAGAAUGCCCCGGAGACUGGACACAGGUGAAUGUAAAAUGCUACAAAUUUGGGGAGGGCAGUCUCAACCGAGACGCUGCAUCUGAUCGAUGUAGAUACCGCUAUGGGGCUACGCUGGCAGUGAUUGAGAACAAGAAAGAGAAUAAAGUCGUCCAAGGUCUUAUCGAUGGCAACAGGAAUGCGUGGAUCGGUGUGCGUCUCAGACAUGGACAAUACAAAUGGAACGACGGAAAUAAGUUUCAAUUCAGAUAUGCUAAUUGGCUGGAUUCUUCUCGCAGUCGUAGCCUGAAGUGUGCAAGGAUGCUCGCUACUGGCUAUUGGUAUCCUGCCCAUUGCUUUUACAAGAGCCCUUAUGUAUGUUCGAAAAAGGCCGAUUGUGAACCUGGAUGGACUGGCGAUGAAUGUGAUCGCAAGUGUCACUGCUACCUGGGCUAUGCUUGUAAUGUAACCGAAACUUGUCCAUAUGGAUGUGAGACGGGAUGGGUUGGAGAUAUGUGCGACAAACGCCUACACAAACCUACAGUGUCUUUCUACUGUGUGAAACAAAGGGGAGGCUACUCUCUGAUGGUUUCCUUGGACCGGAAUGUAACCUCUUUCUCUAACAUCGGCGCCGUGAACGCUGAAGGGGAGAUCAGUCCUGAGUGUGGAUACCGAAGAUUUCAGUGGGAGAGUCGUGGGGUACUGCGAUUAAAAGCUUCGAUUCAAAACGUUUCGGGACUUUUGGAAUCAGACUGUCCUGCAGAAACAGUUGGUAAGGGAAUCCUGAAAUGGACGUUCAGGCUUCAGAAGAAAAAGGACGUGGUCUCGUUUGAAGACAAAGAAUUUCAAGUCAAGUGUGAUCUGUCUGAAGCUGAUGCUGUAUAUGAUGACACUGAGAGAGUCAAGAUAGAGGAGUUUCGGGAAAGGUCCCUAACAGCUGCCACACAGACUAGGGUCAGUGUUCGGACAUACCUAGCAAAUCCUGACACUCUGGACCCGGUCACAAAUCUCCACCUUGGUGUUCCAGUCAGACUGGUGGCCACGCUUCCUGAAGGGGAUGAUUUAGUCAAUCCGUUCUUUUACCCUUGGAGCUGUCAAGCUGCGUCUCCAGAUGGAAAGGUUACUGUACAACUGACCGACGACUCUGGCUGUUCCCUGAGUGAAGACAUCGGCUUUGGAGUAAUGCGCAUGGCCUCUAGUGUGAUCCAGUCGGAGGUAUUUCCCAUGUUUCGGCUGCCGGGGUACACCGAAGUGGUAUUCAGUUGUGCUCUUGUACCCACGACCUCUUUCAGAUAUGAGGUACAGUAUUGUCCCAGGCGUUGGUGAGGCAUCUUGGAAUGGACAGACGCGUGACAGGUCAUAUACAAAGUCAGCGUUUGGAACAGCGAGCCAUUGACAACGGACAGUCAGAAGUCCUUACGUAUCCUCAUCUGACACUG
rnacentral:misc_RNA from 1 species